GAUGAACGCUAGCGGGAGGCCUAACACAUGCAAGCCGAGCGGUAUUGUUUCUUCGGAAAUGAGAGAGCGGCGUACGGGUGCGUAACACGUGUGCAACCUGCCUUUAUCUGGGGGAUAGCCUUUCGAAAGGAAGAUUAAUACUCCAUAAUAUAUUGAACGGCAUCGUUUAAUAUUGAAAGCUCCGGCGGAUAGAGAUGGGCACGCGCAAGAUUAGCUAGUUGGUGAGGUAACGGCUCACCAAGGCGAUGAUCUUUAGGGGGCCUGAGAGGGUGAUCCCCCACACUGGUACUGAGACACGGACCAGACUCCUACGGGAGGCAGCAGUGAGGAAUAUUAGUCAAUGGGUGCAAGCCUGAACCAGCCAUCCCGCGUGAAGGACGACUGCCCUAUGGGUUGUAAACUUCUUUUGUAUAGGGAUAAACCUACCCUCGAGAGGGUAGCUGAAGGUACUAUACGAAUAAGCACCGGCUAACUCCGU
rnacentral:rRNA from 1 species